rnacentral:rRNA from 1 species
UACGUAGGGGGCGAGCGUUGCCCGGAUUUAUUGGGCGUAAAGAGCUCGUAGGCGGCUUGGCAAGUCGGGUGUGAAACCUCCAGGCUCAACCUGGAGACGCCACUCGAUACUGCUAUGGCUAGAGUCCGGUAGGGGACCACGGAAUUCCUGGUGUAGCGGUGAAAUGCGCAGAUAUCAGGAGGAACACCGGUGGCGAAGGCGGUGGUCUGGGCCGGCACUGACGCUGAGGAGCGAAAGCGUGGGUAGCAAACAGG